GAUGAACGCUAGCGGCAGGCUUAAUACAUGCAAGUCGUGGGGCAGCGCAGUGUAGCAAUACAUGGGCGGCGACCGGCAAACGGGUGCGGAACACGUACACAACCUUCCUUCAAAUGGGGAAUAGCCCGGGGAAACUUGGAUUAAUACCCCGUAANAUUAUGAAGUGGCAUCACUUUAUAAUUAUAGCUCCGGCGUUUGGAGAUGGGUGUGCGGCUGAUUAGGUAGUUGGCGGGGAACGCCCACCAAGCCUUCGAUCAGUAACUGGUGUGAGAGCACGACCAGUCAC
rnacentral:rRNA from 1 species